AAGCCGGCUUUGGCCGCCCGGCAGCAACCGCAGCGGCGAGCCUGGGCGGCCGCUGUGGCAACGCAGUGCCCACACCGGGCGCCGACCCAGCAGCACCGAGCGGGGAGAGAAAGGUGUGAACCCGGAAGUACAUCGACUGCCCGCGUCUUAGCGGCAGCACCGGGGCAAUAAAUCAGGGCCGGCGAAGGAAAGACGCGGCGCGCCGGCUUCCGAACCGCAACUUGCUGCGAGACCUGUCACUUCCCCGCGGUGCCCAGUCCUCGCCCCUCCCUGGCGCUCGCGCCUCCUCUUUUCUUCCUGCUCCUCAGCACGGAGCUCCCCUCGACGUUGCUCACGUGCCAGACUCGGGACCGCGAGCGGCGUCCGCACCCGCACGCACACCCGGCCACGCUCGCACUCGCGCGGCCGCGGGGCCGGCUGCUUACCUCCGGGGCCUCAUGGUCGCGUCGCUAGCCUGGGUGUGAGAGGGGGAGAGGGUGUGAGGACGUGUGUGGCGUUCAGUCCCGAAGGACGGGGCGGAGGAAGGGGCCUGGAGUCUGUCACUUCCUGAGGGAGCGCGGAGGUCGAGAGACCUGUGAGGCGCGCGGCGGGGCCGGGAGGGUCAGCACAUUGUGAGCCGGCAAGGGGACGCGGAACAGCCGGGCGGCGCGCGGCCACCGGGCACGGAAUCCGCUGUCGCCACCACUCCGCCGCCGCAGCCCGGCGAGUGGCGGGGCGCGGGGAGGAGGGGGCUGAGCCGGGUGGGGGAGCGCGGGGCGCGGCGGCGGCACCAGGCGGUUCGACUGGAGCCCUGCGUCAGCCGGCGGCACGCGCACACCUGCCCGCCGCCGCUACCGGCCGCGUCAUUGGCUGCCGGCGCCGAGCGCGCGAGAUUGAACCUUCCAUUCAUUCCAGGGCCGGGCGGGCGAGCGCGGCCGCGGUGGAGCUUUACCGCGGGCGCCCCCGAACCCCCGAAGCGCGUCCCCGCGCAGGCCGUGGGCGCGCACGGCCGCUGCCGCCGUUUGUUCUGGUGGAGGCUGCGAGUGCCUGGGCCUGUGACUCCCGGCUCUCCGCGCGCAGCGUCAGUCUGGGAGGGAAGCUCACAUGGCGGUCCCUAGGAUGCCCUGGACAUCAUUCCGAACAGCACAAUUCAAGGCUCUUGGGUAACCCCCUCCCACACCAACUCUGAGUUUGUUUAUGGCUUGUUUUGGACAAUAAGACAUUAGCAAAUGAGAUAUAAGUACAGGCUUGAGAAGUACAUGGGCACUGGGGCUUGCUUGCUGGCUGCUCUGUGGAACCUGAGACUACCACGUGAAGAAGAAGUUCGAAGUGCUAGAGGUUGAGAGAACAUGUGCAGCAAAGAUGAAGCAUCCCAGCUGAGAUUCCCCUAGAUCAAUCAGCUUGCCAACUGCCGCAAAAGCGAAUAAAGCCUUCCAAGAGCAUCCAGCUAUAAGCAUUUCUGUAGCCACCUGCGGCAGGAGAAUGGCGUGAACCCGGGAGGUGGAGCUUCCAGUGAGCCGAGAUCGCUCCACUGCACUCCAGCCUGGGCGACAAAGCGAGACUCCGUCUCAAAAAAAAAAAAAAGCCAAAGACCUGAACAGAGACUUCAUCAAAAAAUACGUGUAGGUGGCAAAUAAGCAUAUUGAAAAGAUUGAAAAGAUGCUCCACAUCACAUGUUAUCAGAGAAAUGAAAAUUAAAACAACAACAAGAUACUACCAUACUCCUAUUAUAAUGACCAAAAUCUGGAACACUGACAACACCAAAUGCUAGUGAGGAUGUGGAGCAACAGGAACUCUCAUUCAUUGCUGGUGGGAAUGCAAAAUGGUACAGCCACUUUAGAAGACAAUUUUGGCUGUUUCUUACAAAACUAAACAUAUUCUUACCAUAUUGUCCACAAAUCAUGCUCCUUGGCAUUUACCUAAAGUCAUUUACCUAAAGGAGUUGAAAACUUAUAUGCACACACGUUUACUGCAUUUUUUAUUCAUAAUUGCCAAAACUUGGAAGCAACCAACAUAUUCUUUAGUAGGUGAAUGGAUAAAUAAACUGUAGUUUUUUAGACAAUGGAAUAUUACUCAC
rnacentral:lncRNA from 1 species